UAAUCAGUCUAAUCCAGACUAGCCAAUCAGCUGUUUUAAAGAAAGCAGAUAAAUCUCAAAUAACCAUACUGGAAGUUUCAUUAUAAUAAAUUUCUGUCAUAGGGCUCUUGUCUCACUACAUACACUAUAUUACCAAAAGUAUUGGUCUGUCUACUUUUAAAUGUACAUGAACUUUGAUGACAUCUUAUUCUUAAUAUUUAAGGUUUAACUUGUUGAUGGGCCCACUGUUGCCAGCAGUGGCAACUUUAACUGUGAACAUCUUCCCACAAACCCAGGACUGCAGCAUCCAUUCUAAUUCAUCCCAAAGGUGUUCAAGAAGUUUGAGGUCAGGACUCUGUGCAGCGAUUGCCUGACCAUCUCAUGCUGUUUAUCUAUACACAGUCAACCACUUCAUGCAUUUAGCAUGCUGAGGUACCCAUUGAAGCCAGACAAAUUGAUGAAAACUCCUUUGUCAACAACAAAGAAUAGGCAGCGGAACAAACUCUUUAUUCCCAAACAUCCCAACACACACAAACAUCAUCAGCCUUGGAAAGGCUUUUUGCUGCCCCUGCUUCCUCCAUUUAAAUAACAGCAGCACAUUUUGUGAUGUUCCACUCUCAAUGGCAAAAAGGUACCCGGCAUGGCUUUAAGAGACUGGAAGAUGUCUAAAGAUCAAACAUCAGAGAGUCAGGCUCUGUAGUUGGGUGUAAAAUCUUGCAGUUGGUGAAUACUUUAAAACAAAGAGGACUUUUUGGACAGCUAUAAAAGGAUAUGUAUGGCAUCAUGUUGGACCACUUGUUUGCUGAAUAUUGGACCAUUUGCACGUUGCUGGACGCCACUAUGCCUUUCCAACGUCAUCGGCCAUUUUGUAUCCAGGACAGUCCGUCACUACAAAUCCCAUCGACCACUGUGGCUGAUAUUACGGGGGCGUCCCAAGUCUGACGUCACAGGAGAUUAUAAAGGAAGGUGACCCCCUUUAAAGAACGCCUUCAGCUGGAGACCUUGACACGGUUAACACGCAACUGAAGCAUCUCUCUCUGGAGAAGAAGAGGUCCCACGUGGAGUCUUCAUUUA